UGGGUUUGGCUGCGACCCGAACACGGAUCACUUUGCCGGCCGCAUAAAUUCGUGCUCGUUUGUUUCUUUAUUAAAAGCUGACGUCAUUAACGCGGUUUUGGUGUGUGAUUACGAUUACGAAUUGAGUCGAUAAGCCAGCAAGUGCCUUAAAGUUGCAUUGUCUCACUAACUUUGUCAUAAGUUGGAAAUGCUGAUAAGUUGUCAUGUAUUCGGCAAAUUACGGCCUUCAUUUUUUAUUGAUUAAUAAACUAUUGCAUUGUUAUCGAUACCUAGUUAUCGGGCUUGUAUUGCAGAAUGCCCUUUCAACAUGAAUUCAGCCUUGUUUGCGGACUGUUGGCGGGUAUUUUCAAUGUAAAGUUGUGCAGCUUUUGAAGUUAAACGAAAAGUGAAUAGGCAGGCAAACUUGUGCAUAAUAUCUGUUUGUAAUUAUGGAGUUUGUUGUAAGUUGUAUUCAACAUUGGACUAUUAUAAAGUGCCUAACAACUACGGCCUUGUUUUGCAAAAGUUAGUGGACGUUAAAUGCGGACGGCGGAGCCGGGGCGGCGUGCUGUAAGGCACAGGCGAUGCCCACUACCUGAGCCGUGUUCGGCGGCGGUGCAUGUACGCGGCGGCGGGCGGCGCGUCGCUCGCGGGCCGUAAGGCGCGCCAGCACGGCCGCCAGCCCGCGCCGCCGAGCCCCGGGCACAGCCCCCCGCACCCCGCGCCGACCGGCGUCCGCGCCUAUUCCUGCCAGCACUGGGAGUCUCGGCUCCAAGCGCCGCCGCCGCGCCCACUCUCCACCGCCGUCUCCGAGCACUCGGCGUGCGAUGUCGUCGAGGUA